rnacentral:rRNA from 1 species
UACGGGGGGGGGCAAGCGUUGUUCGGAAUUACUGGGCGUAAAGGGCUCGUAGGCGGCCAACUAAGUCAGACGUGAAAUCCCUCGGCUUAACCGGGGGAACUGCGUCUGAUACUGGAUGGCUUGAGUUCGGGAGAGGGAUGCGGAAUUCCAGGUGUAGCGGUGAAAUGCGUAGAUAUCUGGAGGAACACCGGUGGCGAAGGCGGCAUCCUGGACCGAUACUGACGCUGAGGAGCGAAAGCCAGGGGAGCAAACGGGG